rnacentral:snRNA from 1 species
CUGCUCACUUCAUUUCACAGCACAUAUACUAAAAUUGGAAGGAUACUGAGAAUAGCAUGGCCCCUGCGC